AGUGAACGCUUUCUUUCUUCCUAACACAUGCAAGUCGAACGGCAGCACAGUAAGAGCUUGCUCUUACGGGUGGCGAGUGGCGGACGAGUGAGGAAUACAUCGGAAUCUACUUUUUCGUGGGGGAUAACGUAGGGAAACUUACGCUAAUACCGCAUACGACCUACGGGUGAAAGCAGGGGAUCUUCGGACCUUGCGCGAUUGAAUGAGCCGAUGUCGGAUUAGCUAGUUGGCGGGGUAAAGGCCCACCAAGGCGACGAUCCGUAGCUGGUCUGAGAGGAUGAUCAGCCACACUGGAACUGAGACACGGUCCAGACUCCUACGGGAGGCAGCAGUGGGGAAUAUUGGACAAUGGGCGCAAGCCUGAUCCAGCCAUACCGCGUGGGUGAAGAAGGCCUUCGGGUUGUAAAGCCCUUUUGUUGGGAAAGAAAAUCAGCAGGUUAAUACCCCGCUGUUCUGACGGUACCCAAAGAAUAAGCACCGGCUAACUUCGUG
rnacentral:rRNA from 1 species